UUAAUAUAUAGAAAGAAAUGGUAGUGAUGUAUUACAUGCUGAGUUGGUUACCUUAGACAUUUGCUUCAAGAGACAAUGUCUAAUCUGUUUUACCUGCUUUGCAUGGCUUCAGCAGCAAAAGCCUUUAACAUUAAGGAAUCUAUUAUUGAACUUGUAGAAUCUAAAGAAUUUCUACUGAGAAAUUACAGUUGUAAUUGAUAACAAAACUAUUGUGAAUUUCACUUACAGUAUUUUUGCAACCAAGAUACUAGUUUUCAUAUUCCAUUCAAUCUAUAUUUUUAAAAGCUGAGGCAAGGACAGAUCGUGAGAACUGGUAGUAAAUGGCAUGGAUUCUGGAGCCUGACUGCUGGAGUUUAAAUCCUGGCUUUAGCACUUGCAUUGGAGAAGGUCAUGGAAAGGAAGUGAUCACAGGGUUGACCCACAAGCUGGACCCAGACAACUACAGGCUCCUCAUCUCCUCCCUGUCCUUGGAAUGUAUAUUCCACCUACCAUUGCCAUAACCAGUGCUGUGUCAAGGAUGUAGAAUGUAAGGUAUUACUGAGACCAUCUGAACUGAAUAUGUGACUGAAGGCCUCUACACAAGCUUUUAAGAUUCAGUGAAAUCUACUCACCUUGCGAGACAAGUCUCCUAUAUUAGUUCCCUAGGUUAUUAAAUCUGCUAC